GGCCAUUGUUCAGUGGUAGAACAUCUGCAUGACAUGCAGAAAGUUCCAAGUUCAAUCACUGGCAUCUCCA
rnacentral:tRNA from 1 species